rnacentral:rRNA from 1 species
AAUGAACGUUGGCGGCGUGGAUUAGGCAUGCAAGUCGAGCGAGAAUUUGCGAUUGGAAGCUUCGGCCGAAGAAAGUGAAGGAAAGCGGCAAACGGCGUAGUAAGGCGUAGGUACGUACCCUCGGGUCGGGAAUAGCCAUGGGAAACUGUGGGUAAUGCCCGAUAAUCUCUGCGGAGCAAAGGUGUGAUUCCGCCGGAGGAGCGGCUUACGUGAUAUUAGCUAGUUGGUGGGGUAAUGGCCUACCAAGGCAACGAUGUCUAGGGGGUGUGAGAGCAUGGCCCCCACGACCGGAACUGAGACACUGUCCGGACACCUACGGGUGGCUGCAGUCGAGAAUCUUCCGCAAUGGGCGAAAGCCUGACGGAGCGACGCCGCGUGGUGGAUGAAGGCCCUUGGGUUGUAAACACCUGUCAGAGGGGAUGAAAUCAUGGUUGGCAAUCCUUCCAUGUUGACAGAGCCUCAGAGGAAGCACGGGCUAAGUACGUGCCAGCAGCCGC